UACGAAGGGGGCUAGCGUUGUUCGGAAUUACUGGGCGUAAAGGGCUCGUAGGCGGCCAACUAAGUCAGACGUGAAAUCCCUCGGCUUAACCGGGGAACUGCGUCUGAUACUGGAUGGCUAGAGGUUGGGAGAGGGAUGCGGAAUUCCAGGUGUAGCGGUGAAAUGCGUAGAUAUCUGGAGGAACACCGGUGGCGAAGGCGGCAUCCUGGACCAAUUCUGACGCUGAGGAGCGAAAGCCAGGGGAGCAAAGCGGG
rnacentral:rRNA from 1 species